rnacentral:rRNA from 1 species
AGAGUUUGAUUCUGGCUCAGAUUGAACGCUGGCGGCGUGCUUAACACAUGCAAGUCGAACGUGAAAGUCCUUCGGGGCGAGUAAAGUGGCGCACGGGUGAGUAACGCGUGGAUAAUCUACCCUUAAGAUGGGGAUAACGGCUGGAAACGGUCGCUAAUACCGAAUACGCUCCCGAUUUUAUCGUUGGGGGGAAAGAUGGCCUCUGCUUGCAAGCUAUCGCUUAAGGAUGAGUCCGCGUCCCAUUAGCUAGUUGGCGGGGUAACGGCCCACCAAGGCAACGAUGGGUAGCCGGUCUGAGAGGAUGACCGGCCACACUGGAACUGGAACACGGUCCAGACUCCUACGGGAGGCAGCAGUGGGGAAUAUUGCGCAAUGGGCGAAAGCCUGACGCAGCGACGCCGCGUGAGGGAUGAAGGUUCUCGGAUCGUAAACCUCUGUCAGGGGGGAAGAAACCCCCUCGUGUGAAUAAUGCGAGGGCUUGACGGUACCCCCAAAGGAAGCACCGGCUAACUCCGUGCCAGCAGCCGCGGUAAUACGGAGGGUGCAAGCGUUAAUCGGAAUCACUGGGCGUAAAGCGCACGUAGGCGGCUUGGUAAGUCAGGGGUGAAAUCCCACAGCCCAACUGUGGAACUGCCUUUGAUACUGCCAGGCUUGAGUACCGGAGAGGGUGGCGGAAUUCCAGGUGUAGGAGUGAAAUCCGUAGAUAUCUGGAGGAACACCGGUGGCGAAGGCGGCCACCUGGACGGUAACUGACGCUGAGGUGCGAAAGCGUGGGUAGCAAACAGGAUUAGAUACCCUGGUAGUCCACGCUGUAAACGAUGGGUGCUGGGUGCUGGGAUGUAUGUCUCGGUGCCGUAGCUAACGCGAUAAGCACCCCGCCUGGGGAGUACGGUCGCAAGGCUGAAACUCAAAGAAAUUGACGGGGGCCCGCACAAGCGGUGGAGUAUGUGGUUUAAUUCGAU